AUUGAACGCUGGCGGCAUGCCUUACACAUGCAAGUCGAACGGUAACAGGUUAAGCUGACGAGUGGCGAACGGGUGAGUAAUAUAUCGGAACGUGCCCAGUCGUGGGGGAUAACUGCUCGAAAGAGCAGCUAAUACCGCAUACGACCUGAGGGUGAAAGCGGGGGAUCGCAAGACCUCGCGCGAUUGGAGCGGCCGAUAUCAGAUUAGGUAGUUGGUGGGGUAAAGGCUCACCAAGCCAACGAUCUGUAGCUGGUCUGAGAGGACGACCAGCCACACUGGGACUGAGACACGGCCCAGACUCCUACGGGAGGCAGCAGUGGGGAAUUUUGGACAAUGGGCGCAAGCCUGAUCCAGCCAUGCCGCGUGCGGGAAGAAGGCCUUCGGGUUGUAAACUGCUUUUGUACGGAACGAAACGGUCCGGGUUAAUACCCUGGGCUAAUGACGGUACCGUGAGAAUAAGCACCGGCUAACUACGUGCCAGCAGCCGCCGUAACAC
rnacentral:rRNA from 1 species